AUGAAGCAUCCGCCAUCACCACCGUGUGAUGCGUCAUCUGCAGUGAAGCGCGCCGGAGCUGCAGUGAAGCACGCCGGAGUUGUAGUGAAGCUCGCCGGAGCUGCAGUGAAGCAUGCCAGAGGGUCGUCGGAACUUGGUCGGAGUUGCAAUGAAGCGAGCCGGAGGCUCGUUGAAAUUUGGUCGGGGUUGCAAUGGAGCUCCGCCGGAGCUGCAGUGAAGCACACCGAAGGGUCGUCGAACCUGGUCUGGGUUGCAAUGGAGGGCCGGUGGCGCCGCCGGUGCUGCCAUGGAAGCUGCUACUGGGGGGAUACAUGUGGUCAAUUUUGCGUAUGA
rnacentral:rRNA from 1 species